AAAGUCGUAACAAGGUUUCCGUAGGUGAACCUGCGGAAGGAUCAUUACCGAUUUUUAGCGGACCUGAUCUUUUGGUCAUGGUCUCGCGAAAAACUUGUAUUUAAAACCCCACUCAUAAAUUGAAUCAUUUUUAUUAUAAAUAAUAAAGAUCACUUUCAACAACGGAUCUCUUGGCUCUC
rnacentral:misc_RNA from 1 species